AACCAUUCUCACCUGCGGCUAGACCUGCGGAGGGAUCAUUACAAGUGACCCCGGUUUACCACCGGGAUGUUCAUAACCCUUUGUUGUCCGACUCUGUUGCCUCCGGGGCGACCCUGCCCUCGGGCGGGGGCUCCGGGUGGACACUUCAAACUCUUGCGUAACUUUGCAGUCUGAGUAAACUUAAUUAAUAAAUUAAAACUUUCAACAACGGAUCU
rnacentral:misc_RNA from 1 species